AGAGUUUGAUCCUGGCUCAGGAUGAACGCUGACAGAAUGCUUAACACAUGCAAGUCGAUGAGAAGACUCCCUUCGGGGAGAGGGUAUCAUGGCGGACGGGUGAGUAACGCGUAAAGAACUUGCCAUAUGGACAGGGAUAACCGAUGGAAACGACGGAUAAGACCUGAUAUAAUGAAUUAAUGGCAUCAUUGAUUCAUGAAAAGCAAUGCCAUAUGAGAGCUUUGCGUCCUAUUAGCUAGUUGGUAGUGUAACGGACAACCAAGGCGAUGAUAGGUAGCCGGCCUGAGAGGGUGGACGGCCACAAGGGGACUGAGAUACGGCCCUUACUCUUACGGGAGGCAGCAGUGGGGAAUAUUGGACAAUGGAGGUAACUCUGAUCCAGCAAUUCUGUGUGCACGACGAAGGUCUUCGGAUUGUAAAGUGCUUUAAGUUGGGAAGAAAAAAAUGACGGUACCAACAGAAUAAGCGACGGCUAAAUACGUGCCAGCAGCCGCGGUAAUACGUAUGUCGCAAGCGUUAUCCGGAAUUAUUGGGCAUAAAGGGCAUCUAGGCGGGGUUUCAAGUCGACGGUGAAAACUAGUGGCUCAACCAUUAGCUUGCCGACGAAACUGAAAUUCUAGAGUAUUGGAAAGGUGGGCGGAACUACAUGAGUAGAGGUGAAAUUCGUAGAUAUAUGUAGGAAUGCCGAUGACGAAGGUAGCUCACUGGACAAAAACUGACGCUGAAGUGCGAAAGCUAGGGGAGCAAACAGGAUUAGAUACCCUGGUAGUCG
rnacentral:rRNA from 1 species